rnacentral:misc_RNA from 1 species
AAAUGCGAUAAGUAGUGUGAAUUGCAGAAUUCAGUGAAUCAUCGAAUCUUUGAACGCACAUUGCGCCCCUUGGUAUUCCAUGGGGCAUGCCUGUUCGAGCGUCAUCUACACCCUCAAGCUCUGCUUGGUGUUGGGCGUCUGUCCCCGCCUCCGCGCGCGGACUCGCCCCAAAUCCAUUGGCAGCGUCCCCUCGCCCCCCUCUCGCGCAGCACGAAUGCGCAUGACGAGGGAGCGGCUCCCGGGAUCGCGACCCACCCCCAAGAUGACCACCGUCUUUGACCUCGGAUCAGGUAGGGAUACCCGCUGAACUUAAGC